ACAGCAAUCUAAACUGCCCAUUCAAACAUAGCAAUCCUGAAUGAAAUAGAAUUCUGCCCUAAAUACUUUCUGUUAACAAGUCGUGUAUCAUCUUGGAAGAAGAAAGAGAGGCAGCUCAUCGUGCACACUAUGUCAUGAAGCAAUCUAUUUGGUAUGAGAGCAUCUAAAAUUGGAAGAUAAGUUAAAGCAGUUGGCGUGACUGAGACUGGCUGGAAUCGAAUGAGAAGUUGUUGAGGGUGACGACUCGCUUCCAACACAAGUCCUCCUCCUGGAACCAUCCCCGCAGACCUCCCAUUGACUGAGAACGAACGGUUGUGUUGUUGGUAAGGCCAGCAGUUGUUAAUCUCUCAUUUCCCUGGAGAAGAUGGUGAUGAGCUCGCUCUUUUGAUUAAAACUGAGUGGCUUGACGGGCCAAUUCAGGAAGCAAUUAAACUCAACAACAUUGCCACGAGCUGGAAGUAACAUUUGUGCCA